GACGAACGCUGGCGGCGUGCUUAACACAUGCAAGUCGAACGGAAAGGCCCUGCUUUUGUGGGGUGCUCGAGUGGCGAACGGGUGAGUAACACGUGAGUAACCUGCCCUUGACUUUGGGAUAACUUCAAGAAACUGGGGCUAAUACCGGAUAGGAGCUCCUGCUGCAUGGUGGGGGUUGGAAAGUUUCGGCGGUUGGGGAUGGACUCGCGGCUUAUCAGCUUGUUGGUGGGGUAGUGGCUUACCAAGGCUUUGACGGGUAGCCGGCCUGAGAGGGUGGCCGGCCACAUUGGGACUGAGAUACGGCCCAGACUCCUACGGGAGGCAGCAGUGGGGAAUAUUGCACAAUGGGCGGAAGCCUGAUGCAGCAACGCCGCGUGCGGGAUGACGGCCUUCGGGUUGUAAACCGCUUUCGCCUGUGACGAAGCGUGAGUGACGGUAAUGGGUAAAGAAGCACCGGCUAACUACGUG
rnacentral:rRNA from 1 species